rfam:Oryza sativa (indica cultivar-group) chromosome 1, whole genome shotgun sequence.
AAUAAAUAUAGUUUUGUACUAUUCAUGUUCAACGUUUGACCGUUUGUCUUAUUUAAAAUUUUUUUAUGAUUAAUAUUUUUAUUGCUAUUAGAUGAUAAAACAUGAAUAUUACUUUAUGUGUGACUAAAUAUUUUUAAAUUUUUCAAUAAAAUGACGGUCAAACGUGGGGCACGAAUAACCACGACCGUAUUUAUU